rnacentral:rRNA from 1 species
ACAGGUGCUGCAUGGCUGUCGUCAGCUCGUGUCGUGAGAUGUUCGGUUAAGUCCGCUAACGAGCGCAACCCUCGCUGUGUGUUACAAGUGUCACACGGAACUGCCGGUCAUAAACCGGAGGAAGGUGGGAUGACGUCAAGUCAGCAUGGCCUUUAUAUCCUGGGCUACACACACGCUACAAUGGGAAGGGACAAUAGGUUGCGAAGCCGCGAGGCGGAGCCAAUCCAGCAAAACUUCCCUCAGUUCAGAUUGCAGGCUGCAACCCGCCUGCAUGAAGUUGGAGUUGCUAGUAAACGCAGGUCAGCCAUACUGCGUUGAAUACGUUCCCGGGGCUU